rnacentral:rRNA from 1 species
GAUGGGCGGGCUGCAUAGGCAUGCAGUCGACGAAUCCCAUGGGGGUAACUCUGUGGGGGAAGUGGCGAAAGGGGCAGUAACGUUUGGAUAACCUACCCUCGGGUCGUGAAUAGCCUUUCUAACGAUUGGGUAAUGCACGGCGAUAUCACCGGCCGGCAUCGGCUGGUGAUGAAAGAACCUCGCCUGAGGAGGGGUCCAAAUAGUAUCAGCUAGUUGGUGGGGUAACGGCCUACCAAGGCUAAGACGCUUAGCGGGUGUGAGAGCACGACCCGCGCCACUGGCACUGAGACACUGGCCAGACUCCUACGGGAGGCUGCAGUCGAGGAUCUUCGGCAAUGGGCGCAAGCCUGACCGAGCGACGCCGCGUGUGCGAUGAAGGCCUUCGGGUUGUAAAGCACUGUCGAGAGGGAGAAAGCCGCAAGGUUGAUCUAUCUCUGGAGGAAGGACGGGCUAAGUUCGUGCCAGCAGCCGCGGUAAGACGAACCGUCCAAACGUUAUUCGGAAUCACUGGGCUUAAAGGGCGCGUAGGCGGGCGAGCAAGUCUGUGGUGAAAUACCCCGGCUUAAUCGGGGAACUGCCGUGGAUACUGCUUGUCUCGAGGAGGGUAGGGGCAUCUGGAACAGCCGGUGGAGCGGUGAAAUGCGUUGAUAUCGGCUGGAACUCCGGUGGCGAAGGCGAGAUGCUGGACCCUUUCUGACGCUGAGGCGCGAAAGCCAGGGGAGCGAACGGGAUUAGAUACCCCGGUAGUCCUGGCCCUAAACGAUGAGAACUGGAUAGCGGGCUUGACAUGAGCACGCUGUCGGAGCAAAAGUGUUAAGUUCUCCGCCUGGGGAGUAUGGUCGCAAGGCUGAAACUCAAAGGAAUUGACGG